rnacentral:rRNA from 1 species
GACGAGUGGCGGACGGGUGAGUAAUGUCUGGGAAACUGCCUGAUGGAGGGGGAUAACUACUGGAAACGGUAGCUAAUACCGCAUAACGUCGCAAGACCAAAGAGGGGGACCUUCGGGCCUCUUGCCAUCGGAUGUGCCCAGAUGGGAUUAGCUAGUAGGUGGGGUAACGGCUCACCUAGGCGACGAUCCCUAGCUGGUCUGAGAGGAUGACCAGCCACACUGGAACUGAGACACGGUCCAGACUCCUACGGGAGGCAGCAGUGGGGAAUAUUGCACAAUGGGCGCAAGCCUGAUGCAGCCAUGCCGCGUGUAUGAAGAAGGCCUUCGGGUUGUAAAGUACUUUCAGCGGGGAGGAAGGGAGUAAAGUUAAUACCUUUGCUCAUUGACGUUACCCGCAGAAGAAGCACCGGCUAACUCCGUGCCAGCAGCCGCGGUAAUACGGAGGGUGCAAGCGUUAAUCGGAAUUACUGGGCGUAAAGCGCACGCAGGCGGUUUGUUAAGUCAGAUGUGAAAUCCCCGGGCUCAACCUGGGAACUGCAUCUGAUACUGGCAAGC